AUUGAACGCUGGCGGCAUGCUUUACACAUGCAAGUCGAACGGUAACAGGCCGCAAGGUGCUGACGAGUGGCGAACGGGUGAGUAAUGCAUCGGAACGUGCCCAGUCGUGGGGGAUAACGCAGCGAAAGCUGCGCUAAUACCGCAUACGAUCUAUGGAUGAAAGCGGGGGACCGUAAGGCCUCGCGCGAUUGGAGCGGCCGAUGUCAGAUUAGGUAGUUGGUGAGGUAAAGGCUCACCAAGCCAACGAUCUGUAGCUGGUCUGUGAGGACGACCAGACACACUGGGGCUGAGACACGGCCCAGACUCCUACGGGAGGCAGCAGUGGGGAAUUUUGGACAAUGGGCGCAAGCCUGAUCCAGCUAUGCCGCGUGCAGGAAGAAGGCCUUCGGGUUGUAAACUGCUUUUGUACGGAACGAAACGGCUCUCACUAAUACUGGGGGCUAAUGACGGUACCGUAAGAAUAAGCACCGGCUAACUACGUGCCAGCCGCCGCCGUAAAAC
rnacentral:rRNA from 1 species